GACGUAGGGGGCCAGCGUUGUUCGGAAUUACUGGGUGUAAAGGGUUCGUAGGCGGUGUAGCAAGUCGGGAGUGAAAUCUCUGGGCUUAACCCAGAGGCUGCUUCCGAAACUGCUGUGCUUGAGUGUGGGAGAGGCGCGUGGAAUUGCAGGUGUAGCGGUGAAAUGCGUAGAUAUCUGCAGGAACACCCGUGGCGAAAGCGGCGCGCUGGACCACUACUGACGCUGAGGAACGAAAGCCAGGGGAGCAAACGGG
rnacentral:rRNA from 1 species